GAUGAACGCUGGCGACGUGGAUAAGGCAUGCAAGUCGAACGGGUUUAGACCCGUGGCAGACGAGGUAGGAACACGUGGGAACGCACCCUCAAGUCAGGGAUAACUGGUCGAAAGAUCAGACAAUACUUGAUAGUCUCUUCGGAGUAAAGAUUUAUCGCUUGAGGAGCGGCCUGCGGGGUAUCAGCUUGUUGGUAGUGUAAUGGACUACCAAGGCUAUGACGCCUAGGGGAGGUGAGAGCCUGACCCCCACCGAUGGGACUGAGACACGGCCCAUACUCCUACGGGAGGCCGCAGUCGAGAAUCUUCCGCAAUGGGCGAAAGCCUGACGGAGCGACGUCGCGUGAUGGAUGAAGUGGUUCGCCAUGUAAACAUCUUUUAUAGGUGAAGAAGCUUAUUGACAUUAGCCUAUGAAUAAGGGGUUGCUAAACUCG
rnacentral:rRNA from 1 species